rnacentral:rRNA from 1 species
CCCUUAGAUGUCCUGGGCUGCACGCGCGCUACACUGACACGUUCAACGAGUUUUGCCUGCUCCGAUGGGACUGGGUAAUCUUAUGAAAGCGUGUCGUGAUGGGGAUAGAUUAUUGCAAUUAUUAAUCUUCAACGAGGAAUUCCUAGUAAGUACAAGUCAUCAGCUUGUGCUGAUUACGUCCCUGCCCUUUGUACACACCGCCCGUCGCUCCUACCGAUUGGGUGAUCCGGUGAAUAACUCGGACUGCAGCUAUUCGGGAGACCGUUAGCUUGUGGAAAGUUUAGUAAAGCUUAUCACUUAGAGGAAGGAGAAGUCGUAACA